AUCUGCCGUGGGCGCUGGAGAACGUGAGGGGGCUGCUCCUAGUACGAGAGGACCGGAGUGGACGCAUCACUGGUGUUCGGGUUGUCAUGCCAAUGGCACUGCCCGGUAGCUAAAUGCGGAAGAGAUAAGUGCUGAAAGCAUCUAAGCACGAAACUUGCCCCGAGAUGAGUUCUCCCUGACUCCUUGAGAGUCCUGAAGGAACGUUGAAGACGACGACGUUGAUAGGCCGGGUGUGUAAGCGCAGCGAUGCGUUGAGCUAACCGGUACUAAUGAACCGUGAGGCUUAACCUUACAACGCCGAAG
rnacentral:rRNA from 1 species